UGGGGAAUAUUGCACAAUGGGCGCAAGCCUGAUGCAGCCAUGCCGCGUGUGUGAAGAAGGCCUUCGGGUUGUAAAGCACUUUCAGCGAGGAGGAAGGUGGUGAGCUUAAUACGCUCAUCAAUUGACGUUACUCGCAGAAGAAGCACCGGCUAACUCCGUGCCAGCAGCCGCGGUAAUACGGAGGGUGCAAGCGUUAAUCGGAAUUACUGGGCGUAAAGCGCACGCAGGCGGUUUGUUAAGUCAGAUGUGAAAUCCCCGGGCUCAACCUGGGAACUGCAUUUGAAACUGGCAAGCUAGAGUCUCGUAGAGGGAGGUAGAAUUCCAGGUGUAGCGGUGAAAUGCGUAGAGAUCUGGAGGAAUACCGGUGGCGAAGGCGGCCCCCUGGACGAAGACUGACCGCUCAGGUGCGAAAAGCGUGGGGCAGCAAAACAGGAUUAGAUACCCUGGUAGUCCACGCUGUAAAACGAUGUCGA
rnacentral:rRNA from 1 species